rnacentral:rRNA from 1 species
CCUACGGCGGGCAGCAGUGGGGAAUAUUGGACAAUGGGCGAAAGCCUGAUCCAGCCAUGCCGCGUGUGUGAAGAAGGCCUUCGGGUUGUAAAGCACUUUCAGUGGGGAAGAAAGCCUUGGGGCUAAUACCCUCGAGGAAGGACAUCACCCACAGAAGAAGCACCGGCUAACUCCGUGCCAGCAGCCGCGGUAAUACGGAGGGUGCGAGCGUUAAUCGGAAUUACUGGGCGUAAAGCGCGCGUAGGCGGUCUGAUAAGCCGGUUGUGAAAGCCCCGGGCUCAACCUGGGAACGGCAUCCGGAACUGUCAGGCUAGAGUGCAGGAGAGGAAGGUAGAAUUCCCGGUGUAGCGGUGAAAUGCGUAGAGAUCGGGAGGAAUACCAGUGGCGAAGGCGGCCUUCUGGACUGACACUGACGCUGAGGUGCGAAAGCGUGGGUAGCAAACAGGAUUAGAUACCCUUGUAGUC